rnacentral:rRNA from 1 species
AACGAACGCUGGCGGCAUGCCUAACACAUGCAAGUCGAACGAAGGCUUCGGCCUUAGUGGCGCACGGGUGCGUAACGCGUGGGAAUCUGCCCUUUGGUUCGGAAUAACAGCUGGAAACGGCUGCUAAUACCGGAUGAUGACGAAAGUCCAAAGAUUUAUCGCCAGAGGAUGAGCCCGCGUUGGAUUAGGUAGUUGGUGGGGUAAAGGCCUACCAAGACGACGAUCCAUAGCUGGUCUGAGAGGAUGAUCAGUCACACUGGGACUGAGACACGGCCCAGAAUGCUACGGGAGGGAGCAGUAGGGAAUACUGGACGAUGGGCGCAAGUCCAGUACAGCCACGCCGGGUGAGUGAUGAAGGGGCUAGUGUUGUAAAGCCGUUUUACCCGGGGAGAUAAUGACGGUACCGGGAGAAUAAGCCCCGGCUAACUCCGUG